CCUCUUUACCUUUGGUGACUUCUUAGACAUCCUCUGAGUAGCAAGACUAGUCCACCUCUGAUUGGUCAGGAAGACUCGGUUUCCUGUCCUCUCGCUGCAGUCAGAGGCUGGAGCUUGAAGAAGUCUGAGAAUGUGGAUCCAACAUGUUACCAGAAGAAUGUUUUCCGGUGGAAGCCCAGCCUCACCCUGCUGCAGAUCCUCAGUUACAUCCCUCAAAAGACACAGACAGAUUUAAGAAGCCUCAGCAUGACCUUCAGAAACCCACAUGCCCACAAUGUGGCCUCACAGAACCUGAACACAGACUGCCCCUUGAUUCACUGAGUUCAGUUCAGCUAAAAAGCUCAAAGUCAUCGAUGAGCAGCAGUCAAAGCAGCGACCAGAACAGGAGCAACAGAAAUGGACCAGGAUCAAACCAAACUGCUGGAGCACCCAGAGGUGGGCAGUAACAAAGCUCGUGUUUCCAGCUGCUGCUGGCGUGCCUGUGGUGUCAGUGCUCCGUGCUGCUCCUGGGAUUGUUGGAGGCCAGCUCCUGCUGCCUUCAGGGCCUCUGUUCCUCCUGCUGCUGCUGCUGCUCGGACGUCCAGGAUGUGUCAGUGGAGGAUCUCAGCUGCCGCAGCCAAUGCCACUCGGUGCUGUCGGAGGCGUGCUGCGAGCCCACCGAGUGUCUCGAGUUUUGUUUGGAUUGCUGCGAGAUCUGUCAUCGCAGCUAGAGCCAGAUCUUUAGGCUCAGUUAAGACCUGCCACUAGCAUCCUUGUGGGGGUCACUGGUAGGCUUACAUUUUUGACUAAAAGUUGUAAACUGAACAGAACAAUGUGCAAAAGUCUUGAGUUUCGCACAUUUUAUUUAUAUUUUGAUUUCAAACAGCCAGAUUGUAUUGUUAUUGUUCAAAAUGGACUUGAUCAAGCUCAUCAAGCUUUCUGAAAUCCUUUGAUUUCAUUAGUUCAGUACCUGACUCUUUUCACAAAGUUGUUCAACUUUUAAUGCUAUAAAACUCUAAUUUAUGAAUCAUUCAGACAUAAUAAGCACCUAAACUCAAAAAACCAGAGUGGUGUCGAUGCAUAACAUUAAAGUUUUAAACAGGAUCCUUAUAGACUUUAGAUUCAGCACUUUGUCACUAAGAAACAAUUUGUUUCGGUUUUUUAAUGGGGUUUUAAAACAUACAAUGGAUAACACAGUUUGAGACAUGAAGUAGUAUUUUAUCACCAACAGAAUUCCCAAAGAGCUAAUAGCUGAAAACUCAUCCUCUGUUUCUCUUUCAGAAGACAGUACUGCAAAUGGGUGAAGACUAGCCUGGUUCAAACCAGACCCUGUCCUUCACUUUGCUUCGUACGAGGGUCUGGACUUCAUGCAUAGAGAAUCGAUUUCUUGCAGGA